rnacentral:lncRNA from 1 species
AGCCCCUUUACUUCCUGCACAUGUCAGUGACUCUGGUUCAGGUCAGACCAUUAAGAGAGUAGAACUCAGAGGAGCUUCAAAGCAACUUGCUGAGCACACACCACAAACCACACACUCGUUGGCACAAUAAGAAGGCGCCUAUUACAGAUGUCCAAAUGCUAAUGGCACACUUUAAUGCAGGAGUCACAUCUAAUGUGGAUGAAACCGGCAGAAACAAAAAAAAUGGGGAACUUCCCAAUUUUAAGGAGGCCAACAACCUGCACAGCCCAUCGGUAAAACCAAUUCCCGGAAAGCUCAGUGCACCGAAGUGGGAUAUUGCGAAGCCCAGUUGCAAUGAUGACAAACCUGAGAAUUCGAGUGAGGGUCGAAAAGUUAACAUGUUCAUACCUAAGCCUCCUCUGCAGAAGCCACCUAUCGGCAAUGCACAAGUGACCAAACCCAAACCUCUAUUUGCCUCAGGCAAACCUGCUCAGAUAAGAUUCAGCACUCAACUCCCUGCUGUGGAGAAAAGCGACGGACCCCCCAAACCCCCAGCUCCAGAAUUCAAACCAACUCUGUCAGCGUCUUUGGUCCAGUUGAAGAACACAGAGUUGUCCUCCAGGUUUGAGGGUUCAACAGACUUGAACUCCAACAGCCUUCCAGUCUUCAAACCUUCAGUGGUAAAAGCAAGACCUGACAUCCAAAAUGAAAAGCCUAACGUUACAGAAGGAUUGCUGUCAGAAGACGGUAAAGGGUCCCUCCCGAAACGGAAACCCCUGCCCGGCAUGACCGGAACCGGAAAAUGCCCCCCCAAACCCAGGAGGCCAUUUCAUGUUGACCUUUCCCAAUUUGGUAACAAGUCACCCCAAAUAAAUAAUUCCGCUGGACCUCCACCACCACCUGUCUCCAGCCACCCAGAAGCACUAAGGAAGACGGUUCCGGACAAACACGGUCCAGUGACUGCUGGCGUGAGGAAUAACAAAACUCUCUUCCAAGCACAAGAGGAGCAGGCAUUAGAGGUUUUUUUGUUAAUGCAACGACAGAAUGCAGGUGGCAAUGAAAUCCCACCCAAAGAUGACACUGAAGUUUAUGACGAUGUAGAAACACCAGGUCUUGCCGACAUACAGUUGAUAAUGUUCACUGUAUAUUUGUAUUUAAUACAUAUAUUCUUGUGUAAUCUUAAACCCAAUGCAUUUUUCUUAAAAUACAGGGAAUGCAGGUGAUGAAUUUCAGGACACUGAAGAUGAUGAUACUUAUGAAGAUGUUGAUGAUGAAUGGUGAGAUGUUUGUAGCAUUCAUCCUCUGAUUAAGUAUUUAAAGCAAAUGAAAGGCUCAUCCAUUUAUUGAAGAAAUGUUAAGAUUUCACUGAUGGAAUUUAUGCCUAUAACAAAAAAAGCUGCACUUAUUGUGCACUUAUAACAGGUCAGAGAACAAACCAUCUGGAAUACAACAAGAUUCACUUAAAAAAGAGACAAAAAAAGACAAGAAACUGGAAAAAGAGGAGAAAAAAAAACUUGAGCAGAAGAAGAAGGAACGAGAAAAAAGGGAAAACGAAGCAAGGAAAAAGUUCCAAGUAGGCAGGACAACUAAAAUACAUUUAAUAUAUACACAGUACAGGGCAAAAGUUUGGACACACCUUCUAAUUCAAUGUG